rnacentral:rRNA from 1 species
GACGAACGCUGGCGGCGUGCCUAAUACAUGCAAGUCGAACGCAGUUGGGACGGGUGAGUAACACGUGGGUAACCUCCCAUCAGAGGGGAUAACACUUGGAAACAGGUGCUAAACCGAUACUGAUGGAUGAACCCGCGGUGCAUUAGCUAGUUGGUGAGGUAACGGCUCACCAGGGCCACGAUGCAUAGCCGGCCUGAAAGGUUGGGCGGCCAGCCUGGGACUGAGACACGGCCCAGACUCCUACGGGAGGCAGCAGUGGGGAAUCUUCGGCAAUGGACGAAAGUCUGACCGAGCAACGCCGCGUGAGUGAAGAAGGUUUUCGGGUCGUAAAACUCUGUUGUUAGGGAAGCGGUAGCUAACCAGAAAGCCACGGCUAACUACGUGCCAGCGGCCGCGGUAAUAC